rnacentral:rRNA from 1 species
UACGGAGGGUGCGAGCGUUGUUCGGAAUUACUGGGCGUAAAGGGCGUGUAGGCGGUGCUAUAAGUCAGAUGUGAAAGCCCAUGGCUUAACUGUGGAAGAGCAUUUGAAACUGUAGUACUUGAGUAUGGGAGAGGGGAGUGGAAUUCCCGGUGUAGAGGUGAAAUUCGUAGAUAUCGGGAGGAACACCGGUGGCGAAAGCGACUUCCUGGACCAAUACUGACGCUAAGGCGCGAAAGCGUGGGGAGCAAACAGG